UACGGAGGGUGCAAACGUUGCUCGGAAUCAUUGGGCGUAAAGCGCACGUAGGCGGUCCGUUAUGUCGGGUGUGAAAGCCCUCGGCUUAACCGAGGAAGUGCAUUCGAAACUGGCGGACUUGAGUACCGGAGAGGGUCGCGGAAUUCCCGGUGUAGAGGUGAAAUUCGUAGAUAUCGGGAGGAACACCAGUGGCGAAGGCGGCGACCUGGGCAGAUACUGACGCUGAGGUGCGAAAGCGUGGGGAGCAAACAGG
rnacentral:rRNA from 1 species